rnacentral:rRNA from 3 species
CCGUCGAAGGUGGGACAAAUGAUUGGGGUGAAGUCGUAACAAGGUAGCCGUAUCGGAAGGUGCGGCUGGAUCACCUCCUUUCUAAGGA